GACGAACGCUGGCGGCGUGCUUAACACAUGCAAGUCGAACGGAAAGGCCCUGCUUUUGUGGGUUUCUCGAGUGGCGAACGGGUGAGUAACACGUGAGUAACCUGCCCUUGACUUUGGGAUAACUUCAGGAAACUGGGGCUAAUACCGGAUAGGAGCUCCUGCUGCAUGGUGGGGGUUGGAAAGUUUCGGCGGUUGGGGAUCGACUCGCGGCUUAUCCGCUUGUUGGUGGGGUAGUGGCUUACCAAGGCUUUGACGGGUAGCCGGCCUGAGAGGGGGACCGGGGACAUGGGGACUGAGGGACGGACCAGACUGCUACGGGAGGCAGCAGGGGGGAAUAUGGCACAAUGGGCGGAAGCGUGAUGCAGAAACGCCGGGUGCGGGAUGACGGGCUUCGGGGUGUAAACCGCUUUCGCCGGUGACGAAGCGUGAGUGACGGUAAUGGGUAAAGAAGCACCGGCUAACUACGUG
rnacentral:rRNA from 1 species